rnacentral:misc_RNA from 1 species
ACGAGUUAGGGUCUUCCAGGCCCGACCUCCCAACCCUGUGUUUAUUGAACCUCUGUUGCUUCGGCGGACCCGUCUCACGACCGCCGGAGGACCGCUGAAAGGCGUCCUCUGGCCCGCGUCCGCCGGUGGCCAACCUCUUAAACUCUGAAUAAAUCGUGUCAUGUGUCUGAGUCUAUGAUUAAAUUAAAGCA